rnacentral:lncRNA from 1 species
AACAUAGAAACAUACGUUACAAGAACUAAAAUAUUUUUGGCCACGUUUUCUGGUCGAAUACCUCACUGUGCGCCGCUGGCAAUCCCUUGUUUGAACUUGACCUACAAUCACAGUCUUUGUUCUCCUUCUAAUUCCUAGAAGACGAACAACUUAAAAAUGGAAGAAAGUUUCUCUACUGAAACAACAGAAAAUGAAAGUAAAGAAAAUAAUAAACUACUAACUGAAAUUGAAAAAGAACUCUUACUAAAAGAAGAUGAGGAGGAUGUGAAAAACGAAUAUAUAAAAGAUAUGGCUAAGGGAAUACUAACUUUAUUUAACACACUUGCAAACGACAAUAGAUCGAUUACUAAAAAGAACCAAAGAAAGGCGGCAAAACAAGCAGCAUUAUAAAUCCAUUCAGCUGCCAGUAAAAUAUGCGGAAUUAUAAAGACAAUUAGAGCUGAAAAUAAAACAAAAGAACAACCAAACAAAACAUUUAACACUUUUGGCAAAAGUUUUGCUGAAAUAGUUAAUCUUGGCAAAGUUUUUGAUGGGAGCCAAACUAACAAACUCAUAGAAAAUAGAAAUGACAAUCGAACUAACACAAAUAAUAGGCUCAUAGAAACCCGUUUGGUGCGCUGUAGUAGCGGCGCUCUAGUGGCAGUUUUUAAAAUUAACGACUGGUAAACACGAAUUUAAAUUGUAAUAGCAAAUGUAAUCGUGAUGAACAUAGGAGU